rnacentral:misc_RNA from 1 species
GAUGAAGAACGCAGUGAAAUGCGAUAAGUAAUGUGAAUUGCAGAAUUCAGUGAAUCAUCGAAUCUUUGAACGCACAUUGCGCUCUUUGGUAUUCCGGAGAGCAUGCCUGUUCGAGCGUCAUUUGUACCCUCAAGCUUUGCUUGGUGUUGGGCGUCUUGUCGUAUUACGACUCGCCUUAAAUACAUUGGCAGCCGGCACUUUGGCCUAGGAGCGCAGCACAUUUUGCGAUCGUAGCCCGUUGUACUGGCGUCCAUCAAGAACAUUUACCACGUUUGACCUCGGAUCAGGUAGGGAUACCCGCUGAACUUAAGCAUAUCAAUAAGCGGAGGA